CCUGGUGGCUCAGAGGGUAAAGUGUCUGCCUGCAAUGCGGGAGACCCAGGUUUGAUCCCUGGGUCAGGA
rnacentral:tRNA from 1 species